rnacentral:lncRNA from 1 species
UUCUUUAUUCACAGCUUUGUAACUUAUUUUUCCUUUAUAAUCAUUCAUCAUUGAAUCAAAGAUAAUCUUUUAUCUUGUAACAUUUUUUUUUUAGCAGAGGCCCAGUAGACGAAACAGAACACUUAAGAAAUAUGGGACUGAUAUAACAUCUGAUGGCACCGUCCCUUCUGCGGGAAUAGGUGCAUUACUCUCUACUUCAUCUGUACUAGCUCGUUCAGGAUCCAUAACUAUAAAAGAAAACAUUUUAAAAUCGUCAGGAGUCGUCACACUAUCAAAAUAUAUAAGUAUGGCAUGUAUAGGUAGACUCUUAUUCUUACUGAGUAUUUCCGAGAACCGACUAAACCUGCUCUGAUACCAAUAAAAUAUAACACCCCUUACCCGAGACCGUUUCCGGAAUCGAGCACGAGGCAUUACUUAGCUUAUCUUACCAAUUCGGAGCAUAAAAACUAGGUUUGAAAAUUUAUUUCAUUAUUCGCAGCAAAUCUGUCUAAUCGCGCAGCAGUUACUAAAUUAAUUAUAACUUGAGCUACAGAACUCGAAAUUUAAUCCCGUAAAUUUUCCAUGAAACUAGACUCAUAUAUAUACUCGCCAUAAAAUUUUUAGAAUUUUUGGUUCAGCAAAUUAGUACAGUUUAUUAGUUAAAGUCUCCCCUGUGUCACCACCAGACUGCCCUGACCUCUAGUCACUAAAAAUAAGUUUUCUCACUAUAGGAUUUUCAUAUGAAGUUCUUACUUGUUUCUAUAGAAAAUAGACUCAUUAAGAAAUCUAAGCAUGUAAAUUUCAACUCAUAACCAUUUUUUUACAAUUUUUUAUUAUUUUCUAAACUCAGAACAGGGGACUCCAAAAACAGUUCUGACCCUAUCUUACUAAAAUUCACAUAUCUUAAAAUAUAAAUUUCUUUUUUUCUACACCGUUAUUUUUCCAUGAAAAUAGACUCAACAAGCUUUAAUUCCAUAUAUCAUUCACCCUCUAAUUCAUUUUAUACUAUCUUGGGUGAUUUUUCAAAUUCACGUCACUGUGCUGCCUGAAUUCUGUUUCUUUGCAAAAUUUUAUCCUUUCAUGAUUUCCAUGCAUAAUUUAUCACCUAAUAUUUCAUAACAACAAACACCUUCAUCCUUAAUCAUUUUAAUAACCAUACAUCAUCAAAUACUUACACAUCACUCAUUAGCAAAAUCAUCACUACAAACAUACAAAAUAACUAAAUUCCUAUACAUGCCAUAACUUAAACGUGUUUCGAUAUAAAAUACCGAGCAGUUGUAGUUGAUAGUGUGGACGAUCUCCGACUUCUUUAGGAUCCUUGAAGUAGCUUUGCAAUACUAUAAGAGAAAGAAAUAAAAGAAGUAAGCAUAAAGCUUAGUAAGUUUACUAGCAAAUAAAUAACAAUAUUUAACUUAAAUAAUUAAACUCAAUGUCUAUAUCUCUAGUUUACUCUUUAGUUAAUCUCAUACUAGUUCUCUUACUUGUUUACUUAGAAUAUUUGUGUGCAUAACUUACUCAAUCCUUGCUGCAUCGUUGAACAUCAAUUGAUAGUAUAAUAAGUUCUUAAGUCUUACAACUUACCUGAGCUUGCCAUUUAUGCUUUAAAAACAUGAUUCGUUUACAAGCCCGUUGAACUACAUUGGAAUAAUAAGGAUACUCGGGUCUCUUCUGAUAAUAACAUGCCAAAGCCAUGUCCCAGACAUGGUCUUACAUGGGAUGUUCUCGUGAUGGUGCCCAUGCCAUGUCCCAAACAUGGUCUUAUAGGGGACCUCUCAUCUCGGUGCCAACGCCAUGUCCCAGACAUGGUCUUACAUGGGACCUCUCGUCUCGGUGCCCAUGCCAUGUCCCAGACAUGGUCUUACAGGGGACCUCUCAUGAUCUUAAGGAUGCCAAUGCCAUGUCCCAGACAUGGUCUUACAUGGGAUCUCUUUACCCAAAUGUCAUGACAUUCGUAUCCAGUACCAUCCUUAUGUAUCAACGGGACUUUUAAAUUUUAAUUCUCUAUCAUUUCAUGCUUGGAUCAUCAUCAAAUAAAUUCAUAAAAUAAAUUCAUAAUUGCUGGAAAUUAACAGCAUUAAUAAUAAAUAUUGAAAUAUUGCAUUUAUUUACCGUAAACUUACCUCGGUACCAAUUAUAGCCAAAUUCACCAACUUAGUCUUCAACUUUAUUCUUCCCUUUGUCUAACCUCGAGUUUCGUACUUCUUGAUCUAAAAUAGUAAAUUUAACUUAUUUAAUAAUCACAUUCAUCAAAAUAGCCCUCGACUCUAACUUUUUCAAAAUUACAAUUUUGCCCCUAAACUUUUACAUAAUUACAUUUUUGCCCCAAGGCUCGGAAAUUAAACUUCAUCUCUUAUUCUUAUGUUUUAUAACAUUCUGAACAUUUUUCCCUUCUAUGGCAACAUCAAAUUCUAAUUUAAUCCCUUAUCAAUACUAAUUUUAUUUUUGCAUUCUAACUCUAUAUUCUCUCUUAAUUCUUACUAUAAAGUCAAUUUAAUUCCUCAAUUUCACCAUAAAUCCCUAAUUUCGGGAUUCUUUCAAUUUAAUCCCUAUCGAUUCAAAACUUAUAUUUUAUUUUACAAUUAUGUUCUUUACUAACUUCUAACUUGAAAUUAAAUCAAUUUAACCCCUAACUAAACCUAUAUAUUUUUCUUUCUCAAUUCAUACCCUUAUUCUACCCAAUUUCUUGCUAAACUCAUAUUUAACUAUUUAAUUUUUAUCAUGUUUUCAUAAUUCCGAAUUUAUUUCAAAUUAAUCCCUAAAAUUCAAAACUUAUAGUUUAGUUUACAAUUCAAUCCUUUAUUCAAUUCCAAUCAAAAUUUCUAUCAAAUACAUCCCUAAUUUAACAAUUUAUUCAACAUGAACCAUGCUUAAUAAUCUACUAACUUCCAAAAUUUCAACUUAAUCAAGUAGUAUUUUGUUCUAGGAUUUCAAAAAAAAUAUCAAAAUUAAGAGAAAAUGGGAUUAAAUUGACUUACCAAAUUACUUUGAACCUUAAAACCCCAAAUUUCCCUUUUUCUUUUCUUUUCUUUCUUUCUUUCUUUCCUUCCUUCCUUCUCUGUUUCGUUUUGCUCUCUGUUUCUUUCUUUCUCCCUUCUCUGUUUUGUUUUGCUCUCUGUUUCUUUUCUUUCUUUCUUUGUCAUAUAUAUAUAAUAAUAAUAUAAUAUAAUAUAAUAUAAUAUAUUAAU